ACGAACGCUGGCGGCGUGCUUAACACAUGCAAGUCGAACGGAAAGGCCCUGCUUUUGUGGGGUGCUCGAGUGGCGAACGGGUGAGUAACACGUGAGUAACCUGCCCUUGACUUUGGGAUAACUUCAGGAAACUGGGGCUAAUACCGGAUAGGAGCUCCUGCUGCAUGGUGGGGGUUGGAAAGUUUCGGCGGUUGGGGAUGGACUCGCGGCUUAUCAGCUUGUUGGUGGGGUAGUGGCUUACCAAGGCUUUGACGGGUAGCCGGCCUGAGAGGGUGACCGGCCACAUUGGGACUGAGAUACGGCCCAGACUCCUACGGGAGGCAGCAGUGGGGAAUAUUGCGCAAUGGGCGGAAGCCUGAUGCAGCAACGCCGCGUGCGGGAUGACGGCCUUCGGGUUGUGAACCGCUUUCGACUGUGACGAAGCGUGAGUGACGGUAAUGGGUAAAGAAGCACCGGCUAACUACGUG
rnacentral:rRNA from 1 species